ACUUUAUUAGUAUAUAAUAAGUACAAUUAACUUCCAAUUAAUAAGAUUUUUAAUUAAUAAAGUA
rnacentral:tRNA from 2 species